rnacentral:tRNA from 1 species
AGAAGUGUAAGCUAACCAAAGCUAUUGGGCCCAUACCCCAAAAAUGAAGACUAACUCCUUCCACUCCUACCA